AAGCCCAUGGGCCGCCUGUCCA
rnacentral:snRNA from 1 species